rnacentral:rRNA from 1 species
UACGUAGGGUCCAAGCGUUGUCCGGAAUUAUUGGGCGUAAAGAGCUCGUAGGCGGUGUGUCGCGUCGGAUGUGAAAGCCCGGGGCUUAACUUCGGGUCUGCAUUCGGUACGGGCAUGCUGGAGUUCGGUAGGGGAGACUGGAAUUCCUGGUGUAGCGGUGAAAUGCGCAGAUAUCAGGAGGAACACCGGUGGCGAAGGCGGGUCUCUGGGCCGAUACUGACGCUGAGGUGCGAGAGCGUGGGGAGCGAACCGG